rnacentral:rRNA from 1 species
UACGUAGGGGGCAAGCGUUGUCCGGAUUUAUUGGGCGUAAAGAGCGUGUAGGCGGCCUGACAGGUCUGCUGUGAAAACUCGAGGCUCAACCUCGAGACGUCGGCGGAAACCCUCUGGCUAGAGUCCGGAAGAGGAGAGUGGAAUUCCUGGUGUAGCGGUGAAAUGCGCAGAUAUCAGGAAGAACACCCGUGGCGAAGGCGGCUCUCUGGGACGGUACUGACGCUGAGACGCGAAAGCGUGGGGAGCGAACAGG